GAGAAGAUAGUGGCGAACGGGUAGGAGUAACACGUGGGGUAACCUAGCCCACUAAGAAGGGGGGAGUAACAAUCCGGAAACGGGUAGGCUAAUACCGCAUAGUUUUCUUGAUUGCAUGAUUGAGAAAGGAAAGACGGCCUUUGUGCUGUCGCUUAUGGAUGGACCCGCGGCGUAUUAGUUAGUUGGUGAGGUAACGGCUCACCAAGACGAUGAUACGUAGCCGACCUGAGAGGGUGAUCGGCCACAUUGGGACUGAGACACGGCCCAAACUCCUACGGGAGGCAGCAGUAGGGAAUCUUCCGCAAUGGACGAAAGUCUGACGGAGCAACGCCGCGUGAGUGAAAGAAGGUUUUCGGAUCGUAAAACUCUGUUGUCAGAGAAGAACAAGUUGGAGAGUAACUGCUCCAGCCUUGACGGUAUCUGACCAGAAAGCCACGGCUAACUACGUGCCAGCCGCCGC
rnacentral:rRNA from 1 species